CUCCCUCCGCCUCUACCUCCCUUCGCCGCCGCCCCCUGAAGGGCGCCGUGAGCCGCUUCCUGUUUUCCUCCACUUCCAGGGGGGCGGCUUCUGCAUCAGCCGCUCCUCCUGGUUUAUGUACUAUCAAUUCUACGCCCGCCUCGCUGCCUCCGUCCCAGCGGCCAUGGUCUCCGUCGAGCUUCCCCUCGCCCCCGAGCACCGCCUCCCCGCCGCCAUCGACGCCGGCUUCGCCGCCCUCCUCCGCCUCCGAGAUCUGGCCCGCGACCCGGAAUCCGAGCUGCUCCGCUCGGUGGACUUCUCCCGCGUGUUCCUUAUAGGCGACAGCUCUGGGGGGAACCUGGUGCACCUGGUGG
rnacentral:lncRNA from 1 species